CGGAAUCGCUAGUAAUCGCGAAUCAGAAUGUCGCGGUGAAUACGUUCCCGGGCCUUGUACACACCGCCCGUCACACCAUGGGAGUGGGUUGCACCAGAAGUAGAUAGCUUAACCUUCGGGAGGGCGUUUACCACGGUGUGAUUCAUGACUGGGGUGAAGUCGUAACAAGGUAACCCUAGGGGAACCUGGGGUUGGAUCACCUCCUUACCUUAA
rnacentral:rRNA from 1 species